rnacentral:rRNA from 1 species
UACGUAGGGUGCGAGCGUUUGUCCGGAAUUAUUGGGCGUAAAGAGCUUGUAGGCGGUCUGUCGCGUCUGCUGUGAAAGUCCAGGGCUCAACCCUGGAAUGCCGGUGGAAACUGUCGGGCUGGAGUCCGGAAGAGGCGAGUGGAAUUCCUGGUGUAGCGGUGAAAUGCGCAGAUAUCAGGAAGAACACCCGUGGCGAAGGCGGUUCUCUGGGACGGUACUGACGCUGAGACGCGAAAGCGUGGGGAGCGAACAGG